UAUAGUUUUUAAAUUUUCUUAGUUUUUUAACUAAAUAGUUUGGCAGUGAGUGAACCCUAUUAGGGGAAGGUGUGUAGUAAAGGACAUUCCGCCUAUUAAUUUACUUUUAUUAUGUUGGUGUAUAUCUGGUUUGAUAUUAUUGCUUAAUGGCCUAACUUGUGUAUGUAGAAAAAAAUUAAGCCAAGUCUAUGUGCUGCAUGUAAAAGGUUUCAUGCGUUACAUUUAUAGUCAAUUAAGUUUUAGUAGUAAAGCGUUGCUUAAGGACUUAAAAGUAAUAUAGAAUGAGGUUGUCUAUGUG
rnacentral:rRNA from 1 species